rnacentral:rRNA from 1 species
GCAGCAGGCGCGAAACCUUUACACUGCACGCCAGUGCGAUAAGGGGAUCCCAAGUGCGUAGGCAUAGAGCCUACGCUUUUGUCCACCCUAGGGUGGUGGACGAAUAAGGGCUGGGCAAGACCGGUGCCAGCCGCCGCGGUAAUACCGGCAGCCCGAGUGAUGGCCGAUCUUAUUGGGCCUAAAGCGUCCGUAGCUGGCCGCACAAGUCCAUCGGGAAAUCCACCUGCUCAACAGGUGGGCGUCCGGUGGAAACUGUGUGGCUCGGGACCGGAAGGCGCGACGGGUACGUCCGGGGUAGGAGUGAAAUCCCGUAAUCCUGGACGGACCGCCGAUGGCGAAAGCACGUCGCGAAAACGGAUCCGACAGUGAGGGACGAAAGCUAGGGUCUCGAACCGGAUUAGAUACCCGGGUAGUCCUAGCCGUAAACACUGCCUGCUAGGUGUGGCACCCACUACGAGUGGGUGCUGUGCCGUAGGGAAGCCGCUAAGCAGGCCGCCUGGGAAGUACGUCCGCAAGGAUGAGACUUAAAGGAAUUGGCGGGGGAGCACUACAACCGGAGGAGCCUGCGGUUUAAUUGGAUUCAACGCCGG